rnacentral:rRNA from 1 species
UACGAAGGGGGCAAGCGUUGUUCGGAAUUACUGGGCGUAAAGCGCACGUAGGCGGCUUUGCAAGUUAGAGGUGAAAGCCCGGGGCUCAACUCCGGAAUUGCCUUUAAAACUGCAUCGCUAGAAUUGUGGAGAGGUAAGUGGAAUUCCGAGUGUAGAGGUGAAAUUCGUAGAUAUUCGGAAGAACACCAGUGGCGAAGGCGACUUACUGGACACAUAUUGACGCUGAGGUGCGAAAGCGUGGGGAGCAAACAGG